rnacentral:rRNA from 1 species
GACGAACGCUGGCGGCGUGCCUAAUACAUGCAAGUCGAGCGGACCGAAAGGAGAGCUCGCUCUCCUUUCGGUCAGCGGCGGACGGGUGAGUAACACGUGGGUAACCUGCCUGUAAGACCGGGAUAACUCGCGGAAACGCGAGCUAAUACCGGAUAGGUCCCGUGGCCGCAUGGCGACAGGAGGAAAGAUGGCGCGAGCUAUCGCUUACAGAUGGGCCCGCGGCGCAUUAGCUAGUUGGUGGGGUAACGGCCCACCAAGGCGACGAUGCGUAGCCGACCUGAGAGGGUGAUCGGCCACAUUGGGACUGAGACACGGCCCAAACUCCUACGGGUGGCAG